GGACUCCCCUUACCGAAUUAUGUUUGGGCCGACCACCAAGCCCGAAGAAAUCACAUAAAGGAGAGAGCUCUAAUUAAUCAAAUCAUGCCCAAAGAGAUGACUUCCAAGGGAGGGGAGGUUCUAUGACCGACCCCAACUAUUCGCGCAUGAGAGUGGACUUCCCUAGAUGGCAAGAAGGAGACCCAAUUGGUUGGAUCUCGCGCGCGGAGCGAUAUUUUCGUUACCAUAAAACUGCGGAUGCAUCCAUGGUGGAAAUUACAACUAUACAUCUUGAAGGGGAUGCCAUACAAUGGUUUGACUAGUUUGAACACACAUAUGGAGCCCUUUCAUGGCGACAAUUCAAAGAAGGACUACUGAUCCACUUCGGACCAACUUAUUACGAGAACAUUGACGGACAACUAGCAAAGAUCCGACAAACCUCCACCAUUCAGGAGUACCUGUAACACCCCUCAUUUCCGAAUGUUCGUAUAAUUUUUUUGGUGAUAAUGUAAGCAUCUAUUUUAAUUGACAAAAGAAAUAGAGUAUGAAUCAGAGGUAACUUAUUUUUAAGAUUUGGGAGAUCUGUUCAAAAAAAAAAAAAAAAGAAAAGAAAAAGAAAGAAUCUGAGGACCUAUAUGUAAACCCUAAGGACCUAAUCGUGAAUAUGAUAAAAACGAGGACUAAACUGCAAAAUGCACCAAAUGACAAAUUCCACCGCUUAAGCCUCUCUGCCUUCGUUGUUAAGGAAGCAGAGGAGGCAGCUCGUGGGUGAUCAGGGAAAGAAAAGAAGAAGAAGAAGAAGAAGAAGAAGAAGGAGAAGAGAAAGAAAAUUUGGGGCUUUUAGGGUUUUUGCUUUAAUCUUGUUACUUCGGGUCAAAAUUUGCAAAGGAUAGCGUAACUCUUGCUUAAAUGUUAAGAAUGGGCUGAGGCAGCGGAAAGUUUAGAAGACGUUGGGCAGAACUUUUGUUAGCAUAUAUGUAGUUGUGUAUAAGCUACCUUGUAUCUAAUGAAAUGUGACUAUGAAUCUAAACCUGUGGAUUUUGUGUAAGUUAAAGGAUCCCUCAUGUAUAGGGUUUUGGAAUGUUAAAUUAAAUUUGUGUAAGGAUAUGAACUUAUGGUAAAUCGAUGAAUGUGGUGAC